rnacentral:rRNA from 1 species
CUCGGAAGGGCCGUGCGAGACGAGCACGUUGAUAGGCGGCAGGUGGAAGCAUGGCGACAUGUGCAGCCGAGCCGUACUAAGUGCCCGAGAGGCUUGACCAG